rnacentral:rRNA from 1 species
GACGUAGGGCGCGAGCGUUGUCCGGAUUUAUUGGGCGUAAAGAGCUCGUAGGCGGUUUGUCGCGUCUGCCGUGAAAACCCGAGGCUUAACCUCGGGCUGGCGGUGGAUACGGGCAGACUAGAGGUAGGUAGGGGAGAAUGGAAUUCCCGGUGUAGCGGUGAAAUGCGCAGAUAUCGGGAGGAACACCGGUGGCGAAGGCGGUUCUCUGGGCCUUACCUGACGCUGAGGAGCGAAAGCGUGGGGAGCGAACAGG